GAACGCACCUUGCGCCCACCAGUACUCUGGCGGGCAUGCCUGUUCGAGCGUCAUUUCAACCCUCAAGCCCUGCUUGGUGUUGGGGCCCUACGGCUGCCGUAGGCCCUGAAAGGAAGUGGCGGGCUCGCUACAACUCCGAGCGUAGUAGAAUCCUAUCUCGCUAGGGAGGUGCGGCGUGCUCCUGCCGUUAAAGACCCCAUCUUUAACCAAGGUUGACCUCGGAUCAGGUAGGAAUACCCGCUGAACUUAAG
rnacentral:misc_RNA from 1 species